rnacentral:rRNA from 1 species
CCUACGGGAGGCAGCAGUGGGGAAUAUUGCACAAUGGGGGGAACCCUGAUGCAGCAACGCCGCGUGGGUGAAGAAGUACUUCGGUAUGUAAAGCCCUGUCAGCAGGGAAGAAAAUGACGGUACCUGACCAAGAAGCCCCGGCUAACUACGUGCCAGCAGCCGCGGUAAUACGUAGGGGGCAAGCGUUAUCCGGAUUUCCUGGGUGUAAAGGGAGCGUAGACGGCAAGGCAAGUCUGGAGUGAAAGCCCGUGGCUCAACCACGGGACUGCCUUGGAAACUGUGUUGCUGGAGUGCAGGAGGGGUAAGCGGAAUUCCUAGUGUAGCGGUGAAAUGCGUAGAUAUUAGGAGGAACACCGGUGGCGAAGGCGGCUUACUGGACUGUAACUGACGUUGAGGCUCGAAGGCGUGGGGAGCAAACAGGAUUAGAUACCCCAGUAGUC